rnacentral:rRNA from 1 species
UGGGGAAUCUUGGACAAUGGGGGCAACCCUGAUCCAGCCAUGCCGCGUGAGUGAUGAAGGCCUUAGGGUCGUAAAGCUCUUUCGCCUGUGAAGAUAAUGACGGUAGCAGGUAAAGAAACCCCGGCUAACUCCGUGCCAGCAGCCGCGGUAAUACGGAGGGGGUUAGCGUUGUUCGGAAUUACUGGGCGUAAAGCGCACGUAGGCGGAUCGGAAAGUUGGGGGUGAAAUCCCGGGGGCUCAACCCCGGAACUGCCUCCAAAACUAUCGGUCUAGAGUUCGAGAGAGGUGAGUGGAAUUCCGAGUGUAGAGGUGAAAUUCGUAGAUAUUUGGAGGAACACCAGUGGCGAAGGCGGCUCACUGGCUCGAUACUGACGCUGAGGUGCGAAAGUGUGGGGAGCAAACAGGAUUAGAUACCCUGGUAGUCCACACCGUAAACGAUGAAUGCCAGUCGUCGGGUAGCAUGCUAUUCGGUGACACACCUAACGGAUUAAGCAUUCCGCCUGGGGAGUACGGUCGC